rnacentral:lncRNA from 1 species
UAUGACUCCAAGCCAGGCUUGUUGUUCAUAGUCGGCAUACCAUAUUGAUCCAGUGCAGUUCAAACAUAUAUUUUCAUCAGAUUAUACCGUGAUAUGUAAGCAUUUAUCCAUUGACAUUAUGCAAUAUACUUUGAGCCCCUCUAUUGGUUUCGUAGUUGAGUGAGAAGUAAACUAUCUGUUCGUAGAUUCGCUGAGGACUCUAGAUUACUACUGAAGUGAAAUAGCAGUCGAGAGCAGGACGAUUCACCGCUUCCCCCUUACGGACCAGACUACAAAGCAUCUCCUGACACACGCCGUACUUUGACACGCAUUGCCGAAGGCGGUGUUGUUCUUGACUGUCACACUGGCAGCAUAAGCCCCAUACUUCAAGUAACACAUUCUGAUCCUGCGUAGCAUCGCCAUGGUUAAUCAAGAUCUGAACAUCCCCUCCGACAAUGAUGAACCGACAAUCAAAUAUCAAAGUGCAUGUGCAAGCCACUGCAAAACUUCAGGACAUUCAGAUAGCAAUUCAAUCUCGGGUAGCACAGAGCUGCGUCAAAAAGUCAAGUGGACCGAUUUCCCAAGGGUGUGGCUCAGAUAGUUCAAGCUGGAUAGCGUAUGAUAAUCCGAGUUUCAUCCACAAUUUGUCAAUCGGAGUAAAUCCUGAGGAAGAAUGUGAUCACAACGAGCUGAUUGGCGAUACAGCCUGGGCUAGUUUUCGUUGAACAAUCUUUUCAAAGAGAUUUACCAAUGCAUGAUUCGCUGGGUUUGGCGGGUGCACAUCUGAGAUACUACGUACUUUGGACUCGGCUCAUUCAUGUGGUUACACAGAUAUGCCUCGAACAUGUACGUACUCGAAGCUGGAAACAUGUAGCACAGCAUACAAACCCACAGAACGAUAAAUCGGUGUCUCCGCGUGCCUAGGAAGCUCACUGUUUUUG